UAUUUUUAAAUAAACUUACCUAUACCCGCGACUUCGAACGCGUCGACUACACAAAGAAACCUCUAUUUCACCCCCUUAGUGAUUGAAUUUUCAAAAAUCCUUUCUUAGCGAUGUCUACUUCAUAAUAGCUAUCUGCAUGCAGAAUUUCACCUUUCAGCCCAAUCCGUCCAGUAGUUUUUGAGU